rnacentral:tRNA from 1 species
GCCGGGAUGGCGAAAUUGGCUAGACGCGGGAGACUUAAAAUCUCCUGAGGGCAACCUCAUCUGGGUUCGAUUCCCAGUUCCGGCA